AUUGAACGCUGGCGGCAGGCCUAACACAUGCCAGUCGAACGGUAACAGGAAGCAGCUUGCUGCUUCGCUGACGAGUGGCGGACGGGUGAGUAAUGUCUGGGAAGCUACCUGAUGGAGGGGGAUAACUACUGGAAACGGUAGCUAAUACCGCAUAAUGUCGCAAGACCAAAGAGGGGGACCUUCGGGCCUCUUGCCAUCGGAUGUGCCCAGAUGGGAUUAGCUUGUUGGUGGGGUAACGGCUCACCAAGGCGACGAUCCCUAGCUGGUCUGAGAGGAUGACCAGCCACACUGGAACUGAGACACGGUCCAGAGUACUAAGGGAGGCAGCAGUGGGGAAUAUUGGACAAUGGGCGCAAGCCUGAUGCAGCCAUGCCGCGUGUAUGAAGAAGACCUUCGGGUUGUAAAGUACUUUCAGCGGGGAGGAAGGGAGUAAAGUUAAUACCUUUGCUCAUUGACGUUACCCGCAGAAGAAGCACCGGCUAACUCCGUG
rnacentral:rRNA from 1 species